AUUGAACGCUGGCGGCAGGCCUAACACAUGCAAGUCGAACGGUAACAGGAAACAGCUUGCUGUUUCGCUGACGAGUGGCGGACGGGUGAGUAAUGUCUGGGAAACUGCCUGAUGGAGGGGGAUAACUACUGGAAACGGUAGCUAAUACCGCAUAACGUCGCAAGACCAAAGAGGGGGACCUUCGGGCCUCUUGCCAUCGGAUGUGCCCAGAUGGGAUUAGCUAGUAGGUGGGGUAACGGCUCACCUAGGCGACGAUCCCUAGCUGGUCUGAGAGGAUGACCAGCCCCACUGGAACUGAGACACGGUCCAGACUCCUACGGGAGGCAGCAGUGGGGAAUAUUGCACAAUGGGCGCAAGCCUGAUGCAGCCAUGCCGCGUGUAUGAAGAAGGCCUUCGGGUUGUAAAGUACUUUCAGCGGGGAGGAAGGGAGUAAAGUUAAUACCUUUACUCAUUGACGUUACCCGCAGAAGAAGCACCGGCUACCUCCGU
rnacentral:rRNA from 1 species